UGGGCAAUGACGUAACGUGGCGUCGCGAGGGCCUAACUACCGGAGCGGUUCCAUGGUAACGGUGAGGAGAGUGGUUGGGAGCUGCAGUCAUUUUGCUGCUACCUCGGACUGCUGUAGUCCGAAGGGAAGAGAAAGAGAGAGGAUAUAUAUCCUUGUCUUUGUAUAUUCAUAUCUUGGCUCUGACAGGAUGUAUUAAAGUGACUGACACUGGGGAGGAAAAUUGGGAACAAAGAUUGGCUGUUGACUAACGUUUCUGUUGGCGAAAGUCCUACAAGAAUCCUUCUGGGCUCAAAGGGCAAAAGGAUUGAAGGUGAUGGUUUACCUGCCCUGAGGCAAUCCAUGGGUGAGUGUGUGAAUGUGUGUGAGGGGUGGUUAGUGGUGAUGCACCCUCUGAAGGUAAUGAUAGUUGGACUAAUUUUAAUAAUAUUGCAAUAUAAUAUAUUUUAUAAUGUACAAUUUGCAAAAUGCUUCAUAU